rnacentral:rRNA from 1 species
GUGGGGAAUAUUGGACAAUGGGCGCAAGCCUGAUCCAGCCAUGCCGCGUGUGUGAAGAAGGCCUUCGGGUUGUAAAGCACUUUUGUUGGGAAAGAAAUCCUGUCGGCUAAUACCCGGCGGGGAUGACGGUACCCAAAGAAUAAGCACCGGCUAACUUCGUGCCAGCAGCCGCGGUAAUACGAAGGGUGCAAGCGUUACUCGGAAUUACUGGGCGUAAAGCGUGCGUAGGUGGUUCGUUAAGUCAGAUGUGAAAGCCCCGGGCUCAACCUGGGAAUUGCAUUUGAUACUGGCGGACUAGAGUGCGGUAGAGGAGAGUGGAAUUCCCGGUGUAGCAGUGAAAUGCGUAGAGAUCGGGAGGAACAUCAGUUGCGAAGGCGGCUCUCUGGACCAGCACUGACACUGAGGCACGAAAGCGUGGGGAGCAAACAGGAUUAGAAACCCGAGUAGUCC